UCCCUUUAACAUAAAGCAAAAUAUGCUUCAGAACGGGAGACCUAAUUUGAAAUCAUAAGUAUCCCAACAAUCAAACAUAUGGCACAUUACAACUUACAGAAAUUACAGCCUAUAAUAAUUUGUUCUUUUUUGGGGGGUGGUGUAUGAGUGCGGACACAGUCCCCCACUACCACAAAUUAUGAAGUAGAGAUUCCCACAUCUGGGGAAUUUGAGGGAUCAGCUCGUCCAGAGUGCAAUGGCCGAACCUCGCCCUGGGUGAACCUCCUUCGUGAUCAAGGUGUCUCCCCUGCCAGAAGCGCUGCUCAGCAUCCUGGAACUUCUUGUCCAGGAUGGACACCAUCUUCCUCACCACCUUCAUGAUCAUGUAGUUGUUCAGGACACUGCUCAGGUGGACAUGGUGUUGAUGUUUGGAUCAUCUGAAGCAGCAGAGAGAUGCAAGUCGUUCUGGGACUGACCGCCAGAUCCUUUGCCUGGAUCUUAUGGUAAAUUAGCUCCUCGUCCCUCCUCUCCUCCUGGGGUACGGUGAUGUUGGCCAGGGUGGUCUCAAAGUCCACAAUUUCCUGCAUCAGCGAUCUGGACGUCUCCUGUGAGCCCCCCAACAGGACCCCUAACUCCACCAGGAAGUCUAG